GCCCAGGGGAAGGCAGCACUGAGUGGUGUGGUGUGCAUUUUGAGGUCAAGAUGGCUGACAUGUUCUUGCAACCACUCAGCGGAGCAGGAGCAUGUUACUAAUGGAAGCGAGAUCAUUCAGCCUCACUGUGAGGCAAAGGCACAGUGACCGACAGGGUUGAGCACCGGGUCAACACUGAAGGCUGUGGGCACUGCUGAGACAGUACACUUCUUGGCAGACCAUAAACCUCUGACUUUCAUUUUUCCUACUUGCACAUGGAAGAGAACUUUAGUUACGCCAAUCUCCCUGAGCUGCACAGUAGUGCCUAAGUGUCCAGAAGCUGAUUUGUGUGGACAACGUCAGCCAGGCUCCCUUGCCCUCUGCAUUCCAGCGGAGUUCAGCCAACAGCAGUUUGGGGUAUUUAUUCCUGGGGCUCCCUCCUGGUGGGAACAAAUCCCUGCCUCCCUGUUCCACAGUGCAGACAGACAGAUAUGCCACGUGCAGUCGAUGGGGAUAAAGAGGUCCACUGAAGAUGACUCGAAUGGACCAACCACAAGGGCAGAGGCUUGCCUGAGCUGUUCACUGCUGCGUUCCCAGCACCGGGAAUAGUGAAACAGACGUGAAAUGCUUUUCAGUGAAUGAAUAAAUGACGGAAAUAUUUUAUUUUAAGCUUCUACAUGGUACAUUCAUUGAAAUAAAGCUCUCCAGCUCCGGGCUUCUGUGCGUCGGGAGUGCGGUGGCGGUGAAUUGUUCGUGUUCUCCUUCACUAAGCCUGCAACAGUUGCCUUGCCUCUCCCUCGAACUGAGAUGGGCCGAAGUCAGAGUGUAGCAGCUACAGCAGCAGCCAACAGCCAUAGACACAAGAAGACAAAACUGACGGGAAGGAGGAAGAAUUGUCUCCAUUGUUCCAGAAUGGCAUGCUUUGGUUCACAAGAAUCAUAAGAAGAAGUCAUGUGCAAGACUUCUAGGGAAAAUGGACAUUCCUCCUUGGACAUCAAGGAAAGUUACCCCUUGCCUGGCCUGGGAAAAGCAGAGGCAGGUCAGAGAAGUGGACAUUUAAGUGGAUGUGAUUUGGACCAGCACUGGCUGGCACCUUAAUUACAGCCCUGUGAGAAACCCUGAAGCAGAGAACUCAGAGGAAGGAACUUAAUUUAUCCAAGGCCAAGUGACCAGUAUGUAGCAGAGCAGAUACCAGAGCCCGGGGCUGUCUGACACAAAGCCUUUAUACUUUGUUUCACGACAUGCUGCUUACCACUGUGGCCUCAUUGCUGUGAUCAGGUAUACAGAGGAGGAAGAAUUUAUAAUAGCAAGAG
rnacentral:lncRNA from 1 species